UGGGGAAUUUUGGACAAUGGGGGAAACCCUGAUCCAGCCAUCCCGCGUGUGCGAUGAAGGCCUUCGGGUUGUAAAGCACUUUUGGCAGGAAAGAAACGUCAUGGGUUAAUACCCCGUGAAACUGACGGUACCUGCAGAAUAAGCACCGGCUAACUACGUGCCAGCAGCCGCGGUAAUACGUAGGGUGCAAGCGUUAAUCGGAAUUACUGGGCGUAAAGCGUGCGCAGGCGGUUCGGAAAGAGAGAUGUGAAAUUCCAGAGCUCAACUUUGGAACUGCAUUUUUAACUGCCGGGCUAGAGUGUGUCAGAGGGAGGUGGAAUUCCGCGUGUAGCAGUGAAAUGCGUAGAUAUGCGGAGGACCACCGAUGGCGAAGGCAGCCUCCUGGGAUAACACUGACGCUCAUGCACGAAAGCGUGGGGAGCAAACAGG
rnacentral:rRNA from 1 species